GGGUCAGUAGGUUGGUCGUGCCACCGGUACGUACUGGUCUCACUGAUUCCUCCUUCCUGAAGAACCGUAAUGCCAUUAAUUUGGUGUUGCGGGGAAACAGGACUGUUACUUUGAGAAAAUUAGAGUGUUUAAAGUAAGCUAACGCUUGAAUACAUUAGCAUGGAAUAAUGAAAUAGGACGAUCGAUCCUAUUUUGUUGGUUUCUAGGAUUGACGUA
rnacentral:rRNA from 1 species